GACGUAGGGGGCCGGCGUUGUUCGGAAUUACUGGGUGUAAAGGGUUCGUAGGCGGUGUGGCAAGUCGGGAGUGAAAUUUCUGGGCUCAACUCAGAGACUGCUUCCGAAACUGCUGUGCUUGAGUGUGGGAGAGGCGCGUGGAAUUGCAGGUGUAGCGGUGAAAUGCGUAGAUAUCUGCAGGAACACCCGUGGCGAAAGCGGCGCGCUGGACCACUACUGACGCUGAGGAACGAAAGCUAGGGGAGCAAACAGG
rnacentral:rRNA from 1 species